CCUACGGGAGGCAGCAGUGGGGAAUUUUCCGCAAUGGGCGAAAGCCUGACGGAGCAACGCCGCGUGAGGGAUGAAGGCCUCUGGGCUGUAAACCUCUUUUAUCAAGGAAGAAGAUCUGACGGUACUUGAUGAAUAAGCCACGGCUAAUUCCGUGCCAGCAGCCGCGGUAAUACGGGAGUGGCAAGCGUUAUCCGGAAUUAUUGGGCGUAAAGCGUCCGCAGGCGGUCUUGUAAGUCUGUCGUUAAAGCGUGGAGCUCAACUCCAUUUCGGCGGUGGAAACUACAAGACUAGAGUGUGGUAGGGGCAGAGGGAAUUCCCGGUGUAGCGGUGAAAUGCGUAGAUAUCGGGAAGAACACCAGUGGCGAAGGCGCUCUGCUGGGCCAUAACUGACGCUCAUGGACGAAAGCUAGGGGAGCGAAAGGGAUUAGAUACCCCUGUAGUCCUAGCCGUAAACGAUGAACACUAGGUGUCGGGGGAAUCGACCCCCUCGGUGUCGUAGCUAACGCGUUAAGUGUUCCGCCUGGGAGUACGCACGCAAGUGUGAAACUANAAGUAGAGUGACGNGUGAGAGUUGCGAGACGACGACGAGGAGAG
rnacentral:rRNA from 1 species